AUGCGAUGGAGGACGGAUAUGUUCUCGCAUAAUUGACCAGAAAGAGGGUUUGAAUCAGAACUACUGUAGUCAGUAGGAGCAGGGAGGUGAUCGUCCCUCUGUACUCAGCACUGGUGAGGCUGCACCUCAGUACUGCGUGUUCAGUUUUGGGACCCUCACUACAAGAAAGACAUUGAGGAACUGGAGCAUGUCCAGACAAGGGCAGCAAAGGGUCUGGAGCACAAGUCUUAAGGGGAGCAGGAUCGGACCCAAGUUUGGACAACUUGAAAAAAUACAUGCACUGGAAUGCAGCUCCUCUCCAGGAAACAGCGACUGUAAAUAACUCCUGGAAAUCACAGGAAUAAAACAGAUGGGUCUGAGAAAGUUAUGAGACUAAAAAAAAAAAAGGAAUCGUUGUGAGGCAUCCACUGGCAGGCUACAUGACUGGUGUCUUUGAAGAAUAAAGCACUUGUAUGUUGAUGUCCUUCCCAUUUAGCCCCUCUUUUUCUCACAUGGACCUUCUCCAUUCUAACAGAGCAGUUUAAGCAACCUGGUAACCUGACACAUUUUGGGAAGUGACAUAUUGUGCAGCGAGCACACUCGAAUGAUCGAUAUAAAUAAGAAGCAUGACUUCAUCCUUUCAAACAUUAAUAAACUUUUCCAGAAAGAGAUUUUCAGACAUGUCUGCAAAAUGAGCCACGAAAUUAAACAGCGGGGGGAGAGCUUUCUUCCUGGAACAAAACGUGCCCGUUCCUGCACAGCUGGCAGUGCACACCCAAUGCUCUGCCUCAGUGGGCAGUCCCAUCCUUGGGCUGCCCGUGAAUAAAAGCUGUGGCAGCUCAAUAGUCCCGCUGUGCCCAUCCUGGCCCCGAUGCCACGGGUUGUGCUCGUCCGAAGCUGUAAGCACUUUGCCAUAGCCAAGCAAAGGCUCAACUCACAGAAGUGGAGUGCUUAAGAAUCUGAAUUCCAAACUUAAAAUAAAAACCAGAUGCACACUUGUACAUGCAGGAUGGUGCCAGAUCGUUUUCAGCUUGGGCUCAUUCAGGGUUGUCUUAUGGCCAACAGCAGGCCAGAGCACAGAUCGCGAGCACCUGAGCUACACUGGGAUGGUCUUACGCGGAUAAAUUCUGCUAAAUGUUCACGCUUGCAGCUCUGACACAGCAGAAAGGUGCAGGUUCAGGCUAUGACACCUCCGCAGCUAUCCAUAAACUGAAGGACUCUACGAUAAGGCCCCUCAACGUGACGCAACGCGACGCUUAGAUACACAGCAACGUCACGCCGUGACGUCACGAGGGACCACAAGGCACCGCCGUACUGCUCCGCUCCGCCCGCAGCCACUUCCGCCUCCGCAGCCUCCCGGUAACCCGAG
rnacentral:lncRNA from 1 species